rnacentral:pre_miRNA from 1 species
UUUUUAGUGUAAACAUGUUUCAUGCAAUAUUUGAAAUAUGUUUAUAUUAAAA